rnacentral:lncRNA from 1 species
CAGGUUAAUCCAACUAAACCAAGUGUCAUUCUCUUGACUGACUAGAUUAAGGCCAAUUCACCACGCUAAUCCCUACUUUGUGCACUCCACUAGCGCAAUGCAUGAAAUACAUACCGCCAUGAACCAAGUUUUAUCUCACGCAAGUAGAGCACAAUUUGCAAAGUGUACAGGAAGCUCACACUUUAUACCCAACAUAUUUUGUUACCGUCUUAACUCACUUUCCUAAUUUAUUUGACAGUGGAUUAGAGGUGCCCAUCUCAUCCACUUGAUAUGCCACCGAUUGUACUCGAGCUUGUUCAAGUGGCCUCCCCAUCGCAAGUGCCCCGUGCGUGCUCCUUGAGAAUUUUUUUUUUAUUUUUAGCCCAUUUUUAAAACAAAUUUCAAUUUUGACACGUUUUUGAAAAAAAUUUCAAAUCUAGGCCGUUUGGCCCCGCCACCAUGCAUGGCGGGGCAAAAUCACUGGACCCCGCCAUGCAUGGUGGCGGGGUACACCCUGCCACGUGGCAUUUGCAUGGCACUCGUGGCUAAAGUGGGCUGACGUGGACCCCGCCGUGGAUCAUGGCGGGGUAGGGGUACCCCGCCGUGGAUCAUGGCGGGGUAUGCCCGCGCCCUACUUAGCCGGCCGAACGGCCAUCUUUCUCUCAUUUCUCUCCCUCACUCAGCCCGAGGGUCUCUCUUUCUCUCCCUCUCUCACACCCAAGCUCCGCUCUUCUCCGGUGCCCCUCCGCGUCGUCCUUCACCCCCAUUGCCCCGCCUCGGCGUCCCUCUCCGCUGCGUAUUCCCCACCUCGUCGUUCUCCACGGUUGUUUUUCCGGCCACCCCUCGUUUGGAGAAGGUAAAUUUCUUACAACCUUUACGUUUUCAUAGUUUAAAUAACUUCAAUUGUUUAUUUUAAUAUGUUUAGUAAGUCUCUUGUUACGUUACUUUGUUUAGUUAUGUGAUUUGUGUUGAAUUAUUUUCGCGUAUUUAGAUGGAGGACUCGUAUCGUGAGUCGAUUUGGCGAAAAAAUGGUCGUCCUAGAGAGUUGUACCCCGAUGUGUCUUGCAAGGAUGCCCCCGUGCCUCCCGAGGAACCUAUUCCUAACUGUGAUUGUAGACAUCCGGCACACGUGAGCC